AGACGGUAGGGUAUUGGCCUACCUUGGGCAUGAGGGGUAACGGGGAAUUACGGUUCGAUUCCGGAGAGGGAGCCUGAGAAACGGCUACCCCAUCUAAGGAAGGCAGCAGGCGCGCAAAUUACCCAAUCCUAAUACAGGGAGGUAGUGACAAGAAAUAACAAUACAGGACUUUUUGGUUUUGUAAUUGGAAUGAGUUAAGUAUAAACCCCUUUACAAGUAUCAAUUGGAGGGCAAGUCUGGUGCCAGCAGCCGCGGUAAUUCCAGCUCCCUUAGCGUAUAUUAAAGUUGUUGCAGUUAAAAAGCUCGUAGUUGGAUUUCUGUUUAAAAAUUUUAUAAAAAAUUUUGAAUUUUUUUAUAACAUAAACAAAUUCCAUAUUAUAAUAUUUUUAAGUAUAUGAAAAUUUACUUUCAAAAAUUUAGAGUGCAUAAACAAGGCUUUUCCCUUGAAUACUCCAGCAUGGAAUAAUAUUAAAGAUUUUUAUCUUUCUUAUUGGUUCUAAGAUAAGAAUAAUGAUUAAUAGGGACAGUGGGGGGGAUUUGUAUUUAACAGUCAGAGGUGA
rnacentral:rRNA from 1 species